rnacentral:rRNA from 1 species
UACGUAGGGUGCGAGCGUUGUCCGGAAUCAUUGGGCGUAAAGCGCGCGUAGGCGGCCAGAUAAGUCCGGUGUGAAAGUCACAGGCUCAACCUGUGAAUGCCGCUGGAAACUGUCUGGCUAGAGUCCGGAAGGGGCGAGUGGAAUUCCUGGUGUAGCGGUGAAAUGCGCAGAUAUCAGGAGGAACACCAAUGGCGAAGGCAGCUCGCUGGAACGAUACUGACGCUGAGGAGCGAAAGCGUGGGGAGCGAACAGG